CCUGCCGGCGAAGAGGAGUUUGUAAAACUAAAAUAGUUACCGAUCAAGCCAAGACUCGAGUAAUCUUUUAUUCCAGUGACCAUACGCAUGCCGGUGACCCCACCAAGAUAAACGUGCUUCGGGAUCGUCAUUAGAUGAAGGAAAAGGCUGUGGAAGGCCGUCUAGCACCGCACGAAAUACUUCUGAAUGCGGGUGCCUGUGUCAGUGAUGACACCGCAUCGCAGAUUCCCGCACCGACCACACUUCGGCGCACAAUCCGCAAGCAAAGGCAGCGGGCGAAUUUCGAGUAUAGCGUACCAUCUUCCAGAGCCGAGAUACGAAUGCGCACAGAGGUUUAGGUAAAGUGUAUUGCAGCGCAACUUCCCAGUGCGCGACAUAUUAGGACAAUAGUGACUGUUUAGCCUGCAUGCAGACCACAGUCAAAGGAGAUUCUUUUCUCCUCCACUACAGCGGAGAGAGCGAUAGCGAAAGGAUCAAGAUCUCUGCUACCAAGCGCAACUUGAGUUGUCAGGCUCAGGCGUCUACGUGGUUUGCGGACGGGACCUUUAAAGUCACCCCGGCACAGUUUUACCAACUGUAAACGGUGCAUGCCACAGUCAAUGGCGUGUUAGUGCCAAGGGUUUAUAGCUUACUGCCAACAAAUCUGAAGCUACCUACAGAAGGUAAGCAUUCAAGAGCUCUGAUAAAUGUAUAAAACAAAACGCUCGGUGGCCCUAUCAUUGGAUAUGUGUUCAAACACUUCAAAAUAUAUUCGCUUUUUUAAGGUUUUUCGACGUCGUGCUGAGUCACAUGGGGGCCAACUACCUUGAGGUGGCUUACACAGACGUCUAGAUAGUGGCCAUCAACGCAAUACAAGCCAUCAUUCCCGGCGCUAGUAUACAGGGACCCUUUUUUUCACUUCUCCCAGUCGGUGUACAGGAAGAUGUACUCUAGUGGUCACCAGAGUCGCUACAAUUCCGAUGAAGAGUUUGCUGUUCUGACGAGAAUGCUUCCAGCAUUGGCCUUCUUGCCAACCACCGACAUUUCCGAGGCCUUCCAGGACCUUCUCGAGGUUUUCCCCACCGAUGCCUCACUCGUGGCGGACUGCUUUGAGGACGUGUAUAUCGCGAGACCCCGUAGAAAAGGGUUGUCGUCGGCCACCUUCCUACUCUGGCUUGGUCAGUCAGAUAAUCAAUACUAGCAGAAAUGCCAAGGACUAACAUCAGCAUCGCUGCGUGGCACCGGGGACUGCAGAACAACGUGGGCUAUAGUUCUCCCAUUAUCUGGGCGUUCCUGGGCUGCAUCAAGAGAGAGCAGUCCUUGACAGAGAUGAAGCUGGCUCAAGCAGAGGGCGGCACGACAUCUCAGAGGGUAUCGAAAAAGCAUGCCGACUGGAACCGGCGUCUUCAGAUCAUUGUGAGCCGCUACGACGGUAGCAAUCAUCUUGAAACCUUGAGGGCGGCAGCUCGGAAUAUCGCUCUUUAAGGUGUUUUUAUUUCGCUCAAUAA